rnacentral:lncRNA from 1 species
AUUUGGAUGUUCCUAUUUUCAGGAUUCUAAUCCUACUAAUUCUCUUUGCCUAAGAGACUUGAGUAUAUUUCUGUUUUUUGCAACCACAUGAUCCCUGACUAAUAUAGGAGUGAAAUAAGUUGACCCUGAAUGAGAGAUUUUGGGUUCUACAGGGCAGAGGAAAUGCUGCUCUUUUUAUAUUUGUAUCUCCCGAGUCCAAUGCAAUUAUUUCUAGAACCGAUAUGAUAAGCAAUUAAUGUAUACAAAUUUUUCAACUGAGAACUUAAUUCCAAUAAUGUAGAUGUAACAAUCCCUAGUUUACCCUCCCAAGACUAUCUUCUGUUUUCUACUCCCUUCAGAGUCCUUCUCAUCAUCUAGCUCCUCUCCCUGAAUAUUUGCCUCAGCAUUCUUGUACGGGACACAUGAAAGAUUAUUUAAAAAUUAAAUCUUUUCCACAUCAGGUAUGCACCAAAUUCUGAUGAAGAAAAAAUAUAAUGGAGUUUCUGGGUAUACUAUGUCAAAAUGUGAAGUUCUAUUUCCCCCAAAGGACCAGUUACAACAUCUUUAAUAGUGUGGUAGGCUUUAUAAUUCUUUAUCUUCAAAGAGUGGACUUCAAAUUAUUUUGUGGUAGCUUAUUUUUCUUAUGUUGGCACCAGAAAUAUAGUUUAGUACCAACCAAUGAAAUUUUUGCUCUUUAGUAUCAGAAAGCAAUUAUUUUAUAGAAGAAAAUUAGGGCUUGCAGUGAAACAUUUCAUUGUAACCAUCACAAAUGUUGUCCUAUUAGGUAGUUCAACCCAUACUUGAAUCCAUGGUUCUAUCGCUUCAUCUCAUCUCCCUUUACCACAAUCUCUCUUAAAACAGAGCUUCAUUCUGAUGGGUUACGAGUUUCAUCAGGUGCCCUGUGAUGCAACCUACUCUAUUUUCCAUCAAAGAUCCCUUCUGCUGAUAAUACUCUCCAUUUUCCUGUAGUUCAUUUCAUCAUUCUAUUGGCUUACUGGUAUUAUCUUUUCUACCAAAGGUGGAAUCUCCUUAUCUUUGUAUUAAUACCUUCUCAAUUCUUGCAUAAGCUGCCAUUUAAAUAAUAGUUUAUUGCUUUUUGGAUAAAAUAACUAUUCAUAGUGGUUGUGAAAUUAGUUACCCAUUUCUUGGGCUCUUAUAUUUCAUUCCUUAACUGAUAUCUUCUCCUCUCCUCAUCACCUCUUCUUCUGGGUUCACUGCAAUUACUGACUGAGAAAUCCUGAUCUGAAUGGGAUAAAGAGGAAAAAAUUGAUACAGUCUUUUAUACUUUGGCAAAUCAAAAUCACAAUUUCAAUGCUAUCUUCCAUUAGAUUGAUUUUCAGGGUCUAUACUAGCUGAUAAGUAGAACAAGAACACACCAAUUCAACCAUUUGAAGAUUAAAUCUAUUGUUUUCAUUUCUUACUUUUGAGAACUAUGUAAUCCAAUUUGACUUAAUUUGGUUGCAAAAGUGUCUAGACUUACAAUGUGAGGCAUUCCAGGUAAGGGGAACAAAAACUCACAAUAGGACUGUGCUGUGUCUAGGCUAUUAUUUUAAAACCUUGAGACAUGACUAAUGGAGGGACAUAACAACCACAAGAAACUCUAAAUUUUCUGUCCCAAA